GACAGAGGGUGCAAACGUUUGUUCGGAAUUACUGGGCGUAAAGCGCGUGUAGGCGGCUCUUCAAGUCAGGCGUGAAAGCCCCGGGCUCAACUCGGGAACUGCGCUUGAUACUGUCGAGCUAGAGUGUGGAAGGGGCGAUUGGAAUUCCGUGUGUAGCGGUGAAAUGCGUAGAUAUACGGAGGAACACCAGAGGCGAAGGCGGAUCGCUGGGCCAACACUGACGCUGGAGAACGCGAAAGCUAGGGGUAGCAAACGGG
rnacentral:rRNA from 1 species